rnacentral:rRNA from 1 species
CGGCAGCGCGGGAGCAAUCCUGGCGGCGAGUGGCGAACGGGUGAGUAAUACAUCGGAACGUGCCCAAUCGUGGGGGAUAACGCAGCGAAAGCUGUGCUAAUACCGCAUACGAUCUACGGAUGAAAGCAGGGGAUCGCAAGACCUUGCGCGAAUGGAGCGGCCGAUGGCAGAUUAGGUAGUUGGUGAGGUAAAGGCUCACCAAGCCUUCGAUCUGUAGCUGGUCUGAGAGGACGACCAGCCACACUGGGACUGAGACACGGCCCAGACUCCUACGGGAGGCAGCAGUGGGGAAUUUUGGACAAUGGGCGAAAGCCUGAUCCAGCCAUGCCGCGUGCAGGAUGAAGGCCUUCGGGUUGUAAACUGCUUUUGUACGGAACGAAACGGUCUUUUCUAAUACAGAAGGCUAAUGACGGUACCGUAAGAAUAAGCACCGGCUAACUACGUGCCAGCAGCCGCGGUAAUACGUAGGGUGCAAGCGUUAAUCGGAAUUACUGGGCGUAAAGCGUGCGCAGGCGGUUAUGUAAGACAGUUGUGAAAUCCCCGGGCUCAACCUGGGAACUGCAUCUGUGACUGCAUAGCUAGAGUACGGUA